ACUACAAGAAAACAAAGUUUUUGCGACUAAUUUAUUGACGACGAAAAUAUCUUUCAUCGUCAAUAAGGAUAUUUACGAUGAAAAACUAAAUUCAUCGUUAAUAAUAAAUUAUUUACAAUAAAAAUUAUUUUUCAUCGCAAAUAGAUACAUAUUUGCGAUGAAAAAAAAAAUUUAUCGUAAUUACAUAUUAUUUAUGAUGAAAUUAAUCAUCAUA
rnacentral:lncRNA from 1 species